UUGCAAUUCCAAAUUCCCAUACCUUUUUUUUUUUUAAUUUCAAUUGCAUCAUGUCUACUACCUCCGACAACGCCGGCGCCGCACCCAGGUCUGCCAAGCUACCGGAGAAGUCCAGUUUUGCUCAGACUUGUAAUCUCUUGAGUCAAUACUUGAAGGAGAAGAGAACCCUUGCAAUUACUCCAAGGAUUGAACCAAAAGGUACUUUACUUUUCUCCAAUUUCAAAUUUCUUAACUAAUUCAACACCCCCCCUUUUUUUUAUUUUACCUGAUUUUGUUCUUCUUUUCACGGAUUUGUUUCAGAUGAGUUUCCGACGACUCGACCACCGGUGGUAAUGAAUUUUUUUACGAACAUGGAAAACCCAGAUGAGAAAUCUGCCUCUGUGGCGGCGGCGGACUCUAUUCCACCAGGCGCAGAGCCGCCCUCUGCCACACAGAUGACCAUUUUUUAUGACGGAAAAGUGUUGGUGUUUAAUGAUCUACCUUCGGAGAGGGCGGAGGAGAUCAUGGCCAUGGCCGGUAAGGGAAUUGCGCCGUCUUCCAGAUCUAUCACCACCGCCGUUUCAGACAACGGCGGAGAACAACCCCUGACGAAAGUCUCGAGCGAUUUACCCAUUGCAAGAAGAGCAUCCCUGCAUCGAUUCUUCGAGAAGAGAAAAGACAGGUAGUUAGAAUGAAACCUAUUUGAAUUAGUUAAAAUCAUUGACUCCCCUUUUUGUAUGAUGAGGUUCUUAUGAUUAUUUUUGGUUUGUUCAGAGUCGCAGCAAGAGGUCCAUACCAAGUGAAUUUACAGGCUUCUUCUAAACCGAGUGGAGAAAGCUACAGAUUCAAGAAGGAAAACGAGCAAUCUUCGAAGCAGUUUGAUUUAAAUUUAUAGGAAAGAUUAAUUAUAUAAAUAGUUAAGAUUAUCGUUGUAAAAUUCUGACA
rnacentral:lncRNA from 1 species